rnacentral:rRNA from 1 species
GACGAACGCUGGCGGCGUGCUUAACACAUGCAAGUCGAACGGAAAGGCCCUGCUUUUGUGGUGUGCUCGAGUGGCGAACGGGUGCGUAACAGGUGAGUAACCUGCCCUUGACUUUGGGAUAACUUCAGGAAGCUGGGGCUAAUACCGGAUAGGAUCUCCUGCUGCAUGGUGGGGGGUGGAAAGUUUCGGCUGUUGGGGAUGGACUCGCGGCUUAUCAGCUUGUUGGUGGGGUAGUGGCUUACCAAGGCUUUGACGGGUAGCCGGCAUGAGAGGGUGGCCGGCCACCAUGGGACUGCGAGACGGACCAGACUCCUACGGGGGGCAGCAGUGGGAAAUAUUGCACAAUGGGCGGACGCCUGAUGCAGCAACGCCGCGUGCGGGAUGACGGCCUUCGGGUUGUAAACCGCUUUCGCCUGUGACGAAGCGUGAGUGACGGUAAUGAGUAAAGAAGCACCGGCUAACUACGUG